rnacentral:rRNA from 1 species
CAAUAGCGUAUAUUAAAGUUGUUGCGGUUAAAAGCUCGUAGUUGGAUUUCUGCUUGGGGCGGCCGAUGUGCCUUCUGGGUUACAGCCGGUUCGGCCUGAGCAUCUUCUUGGGAAUCGUGUCUGCACUUGACUGUGUGGCACGGGUUCCAGGACUUUUACUUUGAGGAAAUUAGAGUGUUUCAAGCAGGCGUCCGCCUUGAAUACGUUAGCAUGGAAUAAUGCGACAGGACCUCGGUCCAUUUUGUUGGUUUCUUGGGUUUGAGGUAAUGAUUAACAGGGAUGGUUGGGGGCGAUUCGUAGUUUAACUGUCAGAGGUGAAAUUCUUGGAUUUGUUAAGACGAACUACUGCGAAAGCAUUGCCAGGAUGUUUCAUUGAUUCAAGACGAAGUUAGGGGAUCGAAGACGAUUAGAUACCAU